GCCUAUGGCCAUACCACCCUGAAUGCGCCCGAUCUCGUCUGAUCUCAGAAGCUAAGCAGGGUCGGGCCUUGGAUGGGAGAAGCA
rnacentral:rRNA from 10 species